rnacentral:rRNA from 3 species
AAAUUGAAGAGUUUGAUCAUGGCUCAGAUUGAACGCUGGCGGCAGGCCUAACACAUGCAAGUCGAACGGUAACAGGAAACAGCUUGCUGUUUCGCUGACGAGUGGCGGACGGGUGAGUAAUGUCUGGGAAACUGCCUGAUGGAGGGGGAUAACUACUGGAAACGGUAGCUAAUACCGCAUAAUGUCGCAAGACUAAAGAGGGGGACCUUCGGGCCUCUUGCCAUCGGAUGUGCCCAGAUGGGAUUAGCUAGUAGGUGGGGUAACGGCU